rnacentral:rRNA from 1 species
CACGUAGGGGGCGAGCGUUGUCCGGAUUUAUUGGGCGUAAAGAGCUCGUAGGCGGCUAAGUAAGUCAGGUGUGAAAACUCCAGGCUCAACCUGGAGACGCCACCUGAUACUGCUUUGGCUAGAGUCCGGUAGGGGAGCAUGGAAUUCCUGGUGUAGCGGUGAAAUGCGCAGAUAUCAGGAGGAACACCUGUGGUGUAGACAGCUUACUGGACCAUUUCUGACGCUGAGACACGAAAGCGUGGGUAGCAAACAGG